CGGAUGCAUCCACUGUUUUCCACCAUCGGCUGGAAGGAACUGGAGGAGAGGAGGGCACAGCCGCCAUUUACACCAUUUCAGCGGGUUCUGGAGAAGCAACAUCUGUGUUGGCCGAAGGAUAAGAAAGCCCAUCACCCCGUGGCCGAAUUUAGCUACAUGUCACCUAGCUGGGCCCGGUGGAUGAGAAGAUCUGGGCUGUGAGGGAGUCCACGACCAUCUGGAUGAAAUCCUGCCAACUUCCCAGAACUUUGUGCCUCCUCCUGACCAAUGCCUCUAUGCUGUUCUGUCACCUCGGCUGCCA